CACGUAGGGUGCGAGCGUUGUCCGGAAUUAUUGGGCGUAAAGAGCUCGUAGGCGGUGUGUCGCGUCGGCCGUGAAAACCUGCAGCUUAACUGUGGGCGUGCGGUCGAUACGGGCAUCACUGGAGUUCGGCAGGGGAGACUGGAAUUCCUGGUGUAGCGGUGAAAUGCGCAGAUAUCAGGAGGAACACCAGUGGCGAAGGCGGGUCUCUGGGCCGAUACUGACGCUGAGGAGCGAAAGCCAGGGGAGCAAACGGG
rnacentral:rRNA from 1 species